GAGCAUGGGACCAAUUGCAUUUGCUUUUGAAUUGUUUGAAUGUGAUUUUGGUUGAAUUUCACUUGCUGUUUAGAAUUUUUUAUCCCUUUUGGACCCUAGGCUUGGCCUAGUGGUCUUGUUUCUCACAUUUGGUGUGGAUUUUCAGGUUGAAAGGCAAAAAGCUUAAGGAGAUAAAUGCAAGUUGCAAAUUGAAUUUGUUUGAUGUUGUCCACUAACAUGUUUUUGUUUUGUAGGGAUAGAAGCUUGAGCUUGGGCUUAUAGCUUGCACUUGUCUGCAUUAACUUGUGUUGCUUGUACAGAUUAACUGAUUAACCAUUUGCUGUUUACUGUUGGUUUGUCUGAGUACUGAUGAUACUUGAUUGAUUUCAGGUACAUUUAGUUGCUUACAGUUCCUUGAGAACUUGCUUGCUGUUGCUUGGUUUUAAACCAAUUGAGGUAGAUUUUCUAUUCUCCAUGUAGUCUGGAAGACCUGGCCUGUUACUUGGCCAGGCAACUGUCUGAAGUCCUCCUUAAGAGGCGAUGUUUGUGAUUGUUUACUUUUGUGCCAAGCAGGUAAAGACCUCUAUGAGGCAAUUGGCGGAACCCAAGGGAUAUGCAAUCUAUCCCCCGCUAUUCUGUUGAGUCGUCCCUUUGCUCACACCACUGUGUUGAUGCAUUGGGACAUUAACCCAAGAUCUUG
rnacentral:lncRNA from 1 species